CCCUUAGAUGUCCUGGGCCGCACGCGUGCUACACUGACGCCUACAGCGAGUACUUCCCAGCCCCGAGAGGUGGCUGGUAAUCAGCAAUAGGCGUCGUGAUGGGGAUAGAUCUUUGGAAUUAUGGAUCUUGAACGAGGAAUGCCUAGUAAGCGCAGGUCAUUAGCCUGCGCUGAUUAAGUCCCUGCCCUUUGUACACACCGCCCGUCGCUCCUACCGAUUGAAUGGUCCGGUGAAGCGUUCGGACCGUGGCCUUUGGACGGUUCGCCGUCUGUUGGCUGCGGGAAGUUCGUUAAACCUUAUCAUUUAGAGGAAGGAGAANUCGUAACA
rnacentral:rRNA from 1 species